GUGGGGAAUUUUGGACAAUGGGGGCAACCCUGAUCCAGCCAUUCCGCGUGAGUGAAGAAGGCCUUCGGGUUGUAAAGCUCUUUCGGCAGGAACGAAACGGUGAGCUCUAACAUAGCUCGCUAAUGACGGUACCUGAAGAAGAAGCACCGGCUAACUACGUGCCAGCAGCCGCGGUAAUACGUAGGGUGCGAGCGUUAAUCGGAAUUACUGGGCGUAAAGCGUGCGCAGGCGGUUGUGUAAGACAGGUGUGAAAUCCCCGGGCUUAACCUGGGAACUGCGCUUGUGACUGCACGGCUAGAGUAUGGCAGAGGGGGGUGGAAUUCCACGUGUAGCAGUGAAAUGCGUAGAGAUGCGGAGGAACACCGAUGGCGAAGGCAGCCUCCUGGGAUAACACUGACGCUCAGGCACGAAAGCGUGGGGAGCAAACAGGAUUAGAUACCCUUGUAGUCC
rnacentral:rRNA from 1 species